UACGUAGGGUGCGAGCGUUAAUCGGAAUUACUGGGCGUAAAGCGUGCGCAGGCGGUUCCAUAAGACAGAUGUGAAAUCCCCGGGCUCAACCUGGGAACUGCAUUUGUGACUGUGGGGCUAGAGUACGGUAGAGGGGGAUGGAAUUCCGCGUGUAGCAGUGAAAUGCGUAGAUAUGCGGAGGGACACCAAUGGCGAAGGCAAUCCCCUGGACCUGUAAUGACGCUCAUGCACGAAAGCGUGGGGAGCAAACAGG
rnacentral:rRNA from 1 species